rnacentral:rRNA from 1 species
AUGAAGAUCUUCUUGGAUACAGUCAGACUGAUUGCAGAAAGAACAGAUGAUCUACUUGCUGAGCUCUCGAAAUACAUAAAGGAUGGAAAGCUUGCCGAAACAGCAGUAUUGCUCCUGGCAGCUCAAAAGAAGAUCCGCACGGGAUCUUCUUUCAAGGAAAAUGGCAAUAGCAAGACAGAUGGGUUUAGUAUUAUCUCUCAUGUUUGUACAGAGGAUGCUGUUGCCAUAGAUUCACAGAUUACUCAAAACAGAGUUAGAAAGAAGCACCAGCUGAAGGUGGACAAAAAGCUUAGGCGUAUGGCAUUGCUGCUUGUCAUUGUAAUUUGCGAAGCUGGCGAAGCGCUUGAUGCAUACAUUCGGGCACAUCCAGAGGUCCCCUAUGCCAUGCAGGUGGCUCACGAUGAAGUUCUGAAACGUGUCUCAUCGAUUCUGAAUAACCAUGGUUUUUGUCCUACUGGAGAAUGCAUCAACAUAGAAAAUCUCUGCCCCUAUGUUCAACAAUCAUCCUGUUUGUCGGAGAAAAUGUUGCCCAACAAACAUGGUGGAUAUGCUACAGCUGAGAAGGUAAAGAUAUUCUAA